rnacentral:rRNA from 1 species
UGGGGAAUAUUGGGCAAUGGGCGCAAGCCUGACCCAGCAACGCCGCGUGAAGGAAGAAGGCUUUCGGGUUGUAAACUUCUUUUCUUAGGGACGAAACAAAUGACGGUACCUAAGGAAUAAGCCACGGCUAACUACGUGCC